rnacentral:rRNA from 1 species
AAGGGUGAAAUCAAAAUGUUUUUUCUUAAUAAUAUACUGAAUUUAAAGCUAGCAUUUAUCAGAGUUGAACUAGGAUUAGAUACCCUAUUACACUGAAAAUUAAUUGUUAAAAACUUGAUUAUUUAUAGUUAUUUUCUUGAAAUUUGAAGAAUUUGGCGGUGAUUUAGUCUUGUCAGAGGAAUUUGUUUUUUAAUCGAUAAACCACGUAAAAUCUUACUCAAGUUUAUAUACCAUCAUUAAAAGAUAAUUUUUAUAGAAUUAAUUAUUAAGAUUUAUAGAUAAUUAAAAUUAGAUCAAGGUGUAGCUAAUAAAUGAGUUAAAAUGAAUUACAAUAAAAUUUAUUUAUAUGGAGUAAUUAUUGUGAAGGUGGAUUUGAUUGUAUAUAAGUUUAAUAAGCUUUUAAGAUAAAAGCUCUAAAUCAUGUACAUAUCGCCCGUCGCUUUC